rnacentral:rRNA from 1 species
GAUGAACGCUGGCGGCGUGCCUAACACAUGCAAGUCGAGCGAAGCGCCUUACUUGAUUUCUUCGGGAUGAAAGUAUUGUGACUGAGCGGCGGACGGGUGAGUAACGCGUGGAUAACCUGCCUCAUACAGGGGGAUAACAGUUAGAAACGACUGCUAAUACCGCAUAUGCACACAGUACCGCAUGGUACAGGGUGGAAAGAUUUAUCGGUGUGGGAUGGACCCGCGUUGGAUUAGCUAGUUGGCAGGGUAACGGCCUACCAAGGCGACGAUCCAUAGCCGGCCUGAGAGGGUGGACGGCCACAUUGGGACUGAGACACGGCCCAA